UCAAAAGCGAAGUGGAUAACGUGAUGGCGUUUGAGGCAAAAGGUACUGGGUUCGAGUCCCAGAGUGA
rnacentral:tRNA from 1 species